AGUACUAGCAUCCUCUUCGCGUUGUUCGAACUUUUACUGAAUAAAUAUACUGUAAACACAUCGUCGACAUGGAGUGAAAAGCUUCUUCGGUCUUUUUGAAGCGGAAAAAAAGACCAGAGUUGCCUCGAGAGUGGACGCGACGACGCCGCAAUGACUGGGACCCAUGGCAGCGGGACUUGGGUUGUCAGUGAGAGCCAUAAUCCACGCCCCUCGACUGUGACUCUUCUGCAAUGCACUGGAAGACUACCUGAAAAGCAGCAUCACUCACCCACGUACCUGCUAUGAUAUUUCAAACAGCACUUAAUACUUUUACAGAAUAAAUGUUCAAAGUAUUCAGGCAGAGUCUGGUCGCACUGCGCUCUCAUCUUCUGGAUUUAUCAUGUCCUGUAGAGCCAUGGAUCUAUCCAGCGUUUGAAAAUAGAGGAAGAAGAACCGAGUCAUCCAGUGCUCCUCUGCAUCAAGAGAAGCCAGAUGAGGAGACAUGAGCAUCUUCGUCUUAGGAUGCUGUAGCGGUGAAGUUUCUGGAACUGGGAGGAAGCCCUGGGCAGGUCCAGGAUGCGCUGAAGAGAUCAUGUCCCUCACUUGAGCUGGGAGCACCGCAAUGUCCCGGAGUCUGUGUCCAGGGAGAAACUGGUCUGGAACUCAGUACCUCAGGGGCCUCCAGCUUUGAUAAGCUGCCGAGAAUAUUAGGAUUUAUUCAGGGGACAAGCAGGAGUUGAAUGUUUUGGAUUCUUUGUUCAUUUAUGGCACAACAUCAGGGGUAAUAAUAAUGUGUGUGCUAGUGAAAAGAAACCAACGCUUGGCUGAAGGGUGUUCUAUUUGAAUGGCUACUGUUUAUGUGGGCCGGAAGAGAGAAGUCAUUUACAUCAACAUGUCAGCGCUGAAGACAAGAACAUGGUGGAAUCCACUGGUGAUAUUCAAGUUCUUCUUCAAGCAGGCUUCUAGAACGUGCCAUGAAGUCGUCAUGAGGGCGGCUCUCUGACCUUUUGGAUGUGUGUGACGCAGUAGGAGAGCUCGGGGGUCUGCGGCGAACUGAU